rnacentral:rRNA from 1 species
GACGAACGCUGGCGGCGUGCCUAAUACAUGCAAGUCGAACGCAGGGGGGACGGGGGAGUAACACGUGGGUAACCUCCCAUCAGAGGGGAUAACCCUUGGAAACAGGUGCUAAACCGAUACUGAUGGAUGAACCCGCGGUGCAUUAGCCAGUUGGUGAGGUAAAGGCUCACCAAGGCCACGAUGCAUACCCGGCCUGAGAGGGUGAUCGGCCACACUGGGACUGAGACACGGCCCAGACUCCUACGGGAGGCAGCAGUAGGGAAUCUUGGACAAUGGACGAAAGCCUGACCGAGCAACGCCGCGUGAGUGAAGAAGGUUUUCGGAUCGUAAAGCUCUGUUGGUGGAGAAGCGGUAUCUACCCAGAAAGCCACGGCUAACUCCGUGCCAGCAGCCGCGGUAAUUC